CCUGUGGAAGAUCAGACAGCUACAGAAGCUGAGCUGGGUAGUGCCGCAGACCUCCCGGCCCUGGUGCAGUAGAAGCUGUGGGAGAGAUAAACUCAAGGCAAGAACAAAAAUGAAGACUCCCCUUCCUCGUCCUCUUCCUACUUCUCCUUUUCCGGCUCCUGCUCCUCCUCAUCCUCUAUUCUUCCUCUGCUGGCAGCUCCCCCACUUCCGCUCCGUCCCUUCGGCUGCGGGCGAGCGGCUCUCGCGUGGGACGGGACUGGGCACAGUGUGAAUGGGGAAGAAGGGAGAAGACGAGGGGGGGACCCCGAAACGGAGCAGUGAAGGAGUGGAAAGUCACCAACCUGAGCUGGGACCAGGAUGGAAGCUGCCUGUGACUAAAGCCCAUCCCUUGGGCCCUAUAAACAGCAAUCCUGAGUCAGACCCUUGGGACUCUCCUGGGCCACAGCAGCUGCAACAGUGACCUCCCUGUGCUGGGGUCUCUGCAAAUUCCCUGUGCCAGGAACUCUCCCAUUUGCUGCACUCGGGGCAUCCCUGAAUGAUAAUGGGUCCUGAGCUGAGCCCCUCCAGUCCUUGAGGCUCUGACCUGCACCUGGUAGGAAGAUGCAAAAGCAUCCGAAGGGAGAAUUCCACUGGAUUCCAGGGGAAUUUCCCACAGGGACCUCGUACAGACUCUUGUCCAUGAGUGUGUGACAGUGAAUAUGCCAUUGCAAAUGUCCUCGGAAUGCUGCUCUCCUGGAGUUGGAAGUACUUUAGAUUUCUAAGUCAGUCAGGCAUGUGGAUAUGCUCCUGUUAUGGUGUAAUAAAUUCUGUGUGAAGUUA